rnacentral:rRNA from 1 species
GAUGAACGCUGGCGGCGUGCCUAAUACAUGCAAGUCGAGCGAACGGACGAGAAGCUUGCUUUUCUGAUGUUAGCGGCGGACGGGUGAGUAACACGUGGAUAACCUACCUAUAAGACUGGGAUAACUUCGGGAAACCGGAGCUAAUACCGGAGAAUAUUUUGAACCGCAUGGUUCAAAAGUGAAAGACGGUCUUGCUGUCACUUAUAGAUGGAUCCGCGCUGCAUUAGCUAGUUGGUAAUUUAACGGCUUACCAAGGCAACGAUGCAUAGCCGACCUGAGAGGGUGAUAGGCCACACUGGAACUGAGACACGGUCCAGACGCCUACGGGAGGCAGCAGUAGGGAAUCGUACGCAAUGGGCGAAAGCAUGACGGAGCAGCGCCGCGUGAGAGAUGAAGGUCUUCGGAUCGUAAAACUCUGUUAUUAGGGAAGAACAGAUGUGUAAGUAACUGUGCACAUAUUGACGGUACCUAAUAAGAAAGCCACGGCUAACUACGUG